UAACAGGUCGCUGUGAUCCCUUCGGGGUGAACUUGACGCUGACGAGUGGCGGACGGGUGAGUAAUGCUUGGGAAUCUACCCAGUAGUGGGGGACAACACGAGGAAACUCGUGCUAAUACCGCAUACGUCCUACGGGAGAAAGUGGGGGAUCUUCGGACCUCACGCUAUUGGAUGAGCCCAAGUCGGAUUAGCUUGUUGGUGGGGUAAAGGCCUACCAAGGCUACGAUCCGUAGCUGGUCUGAGAGGACGAUCAGCCACACUGGGACUGAGACACGGCCCAGACCCCUACGGGAGGCAGCAGUGGGGAAUAUUGGACAAUGGGGGCAACCCUGAUCCAGCAAUGCCGCGUGUGUGAAGAAGGCCUGCGGGUUGUAAAGCACUUUCAGUAGAGAAGAAAAGCUUAGGGUUAAUAGCUCUGAGUCUUGACGUAACCUACAGAAGAAGCACCGGCUAACUCCGUGCCAGCAGCCGCGGUAAUACGGGGGGUGCGAGCGUUAAUCGGAAUUACUGGGCGUAAAGCGCGCGUAGGCGGCUUGGCCAGUCGGAUGUGAAAGCCCCGGGCUUAACCUGGGAAUUGCAUUCGAUACUGCCAAGCUAGAGUAUGGGAGAGGGAAGCGGAAUUUCCGGUGUAGCGGUGAAAUGCGUAGAUAUCGGAAGGAACACCAGUGGCGAAGGCGGCUUCCUGGCCCAAUACUGACGCUCAGGUGCGAAAGCGUGGGGAGCGAACAGGAUUAGAUACCCUGGUAGUCCACGCCGUAAACGAUGAGAACUAGAUGUCGGGAGGAUUUGCCUCUCGGUGUCGCAGCUAACGCGUUAAGUUCUCCGCCUGGGGAGUACGCCGGCAACGGUAAAACUCAAAGGAAUUGACGGGGACCCGCACAAGCGGUGGAGCAUGUGGUU
rnacentral:rRNA from 1 species